CGCGCAGCAUUCUGUAGCAAUACAGGGUGUGGGCGCGUGGCGAACGGGUGCGUAACACGUGGAUAACCUUCCUUCAGGUGGGGAAUAACCCAGUGAAAACUGGGCUAAUACCGCAUAACAUGACGAUGGCACAUGCUGUUGUCUUCAAAGGCGCAAGUCGCCAGAAGAGGGAUCCGCGGCCGAUUAGCUUGUUGGCGAGGUAAUGGCUCACCAAGGCAUUGAUCGGUAGCCGGACUGAGAGGUUGGCCGGCCACACUGGAACUGAGACACGGUCCAGACUCCUACGGGAGGCAGCAGUGGGGAAUCUUGCACAAUGGACGAAAGUCUGAUGCAGCAACGCCGCGUGGGGGAUGAAGCUUCUCGGAGUGUAAACCCCUUUCGACCCGGAAGAAUGCCCGCAAGGGUUUGACGGUACGGGUAUAAGAAGCCCCGGCUAACUACGUGCCAGCAGCCGCGGUAAUACGUAGGGGGCCAGCGUUGCUCGGAAUUACUGGGCGUAAAGGGUCUGUAGGCGGUGCGGCAAGUCGAUAGUGAAAUCCCUAGGCUUAACCUAGGGGCUGCUAGCGAAACUGCCGUGCUAGAGUGUGAGAGAGGCGAGUGGAAUUACGGGUGUAGCGGUGAAAUGCGUAGAUAUCCGUAGGAACAUCCGAGGCGAAAGCGGCUCGCUGGAUCACAACUGACGCUGAGAGACGAAAGCUAGGGGAGCAAACAGGAUUAGAUACCCUG
rnacentral:rRNA from 1 species